rnacentral:ncRNA from 1 species
AACAUAAGUAAGUUAAAGACAUCAUGCCAUUUUUUUGCAGCAUAAAAUGGUAGUUUUAGAUUCUAGAAUGUUUUCAUUAAUCAAGACCGAAACUCGGAGGUUCAAAGACGAUCAGAUACCGUCGUAGUUCCGACCAUAAAAGAUGCUGACUAGCAAUCCGAUGGAGUUAUUCCCAUGACUCACCAGGCAGCUUCUGGGAAACCAAAGUCUUUGGGUUCCUGGGGAGUAUGGUUGCAAAGCUGAAACCUAAAGGAAUUGACGGAAGGGCACCACCAGGAAUGGAACCUGUGGCUUAACAUGGGAAACCUCACCCGGCCUGGACACGAAAAGG